rnacentral:rRNA from 1 species
AUUGAACGCUGGCGGUAGGCCUAACACAUGCAAGUCGAACGGCAGCACAGUAAAAGCUUGCUCUUCCGGGUGGCGAGUGGCGGACGGGUGAGGAAUACAUCGGACUCUACUUUUUCGUGGGGGAUAACGUAGGGAAACUUACGCUAAUACCGCAUACGACCUACACGUGAAAGCAGGGGAUCUUCGGACCUUGCGCGAUUGAAUGCGCCGAUGUCGGAUUAGCUAGUUGGCGGGGUAAAGGCCCACCAAGGCGACGAUCCGUAGCUGGUCUGAGAGGAUGAUCAGCCACACUGGAACUGAGGCACGGUCCAGACUCCUACGGGAGGCAGCAGUGGGGAAUAUUGGACAAUGGGCGCAAGCCUGAUCCAGCCAUACCGCGUGGGUGAAGAAGGCCUUCGGGUUGUAAAGCCCUUUUGUUGGGAAAGAAAAGCAGCAGGUUAAUACCCCGCUGUUCUGACGGUACCCAAAGAAUAAGCACCGGCUAACUUCGUG